rnacentral:rRNA from 7 species
AGGGAAACAACCCAGACCGCCAGCUAAGGUCCCAAAGUCAUGGUUAAGUGGGAAACGAUGUGGGAAGGCCCAGACAGCCAGGAUGUUGGCUUAGAAGCAGCCAUCAUUUAAAGAAAGCGUAAUAGCUCACUGGUCGAGUCGGCCUGCGCGGAAGAUGUAACGGGGCUAAACCAUGCACCGAAGCUGCGGCAGCGACACUCAGGUGUUGUUGGGUAGGGGAGCGUUCUGUAAGCCUGUGAAGGUGGCCUGUGAGGGUUGCUGGAGGUAUCAGAAGUGCGAAUGCUGACAUAAGUAACGAUAAAGCGGGUGAAAAGCCCGCUCGCCGGAAGACCAAGGGUUCCUGUCCAACGUUAAUCGGGGCAGGGUGAGUCGACCCCUAAGGCGAGGCCGAAAGGCGUAGUCGAUGGGAAACGGGUUAAUAUUCCCGUACU